GGUAGGGUGGCCGAGAGUUCAGGCGGUGGGUUGUAGCCCCGAAGACAGAGGUUGGACCCCUCUCCCUAUCA
rnacentral:tRNA from 1 species